GGCGAUUCCGGAUCCUAUGACACUGGGAUGAGCUGUCUAGCAUUCAUGAUUGCAGCUACCUCAACCAUGAGUGUGGUGAGAACCUCAUGUGUCAGCUUUCUACAAGUGAUACAUCUGUGAAACAGACUGCCGAUGCAGCGUUUAGCUCCCACCAGCCAGAACCCUGCUGCUCGAAUGGCGCCUUCAUUCAGAUGUCUUCCUUGGUGUUUUAAUGCUUCGUGAUAGUGAGACACAAGCAGGGUUAUGAGAUGGUGCUGGCCAGGAAUGAUGAUGGGGUGAGUCUCGUUCCUGUUCAGAUCUGACAAUCCAAUCCGACCUCCCACUCUAAGAAGUUGAUCUUGGUCCACGGUGGGGUCCAAUUUCCACAGGCUGCUGGAAGAUGGGAUGUUAGAUCCUGAGUUAAUACACUUAAUAUCCUCUGUAUAGCACUCAUUCUGGACACUCUUCACAAUGCACACUUUGGCCCUCAACAACUCUUCCUCUGUAGAGCGACAGAUAUGCCACCCCUGAAAUUCAUUCUGGGUGGAGUGGGCAAAGGAACGAGCCACUUGGAUGAGAUGCGCUAUGGCUGUGAGGAGAUUGCUGAACUUGGAGAAACGUUCCAAGUGUUGUGGGUGUACCACAUCUCUGGUAACGUGUGAGACUUGUCACCACCUGGGGACGCACUUAGGAGUCGGUGACAGGGUCAAUAAGGUUAUAGGUCUCUUGAAGCGCAGAUGAAUGCAAAGAUGCAUCACGGAGAAAGGCUGGUCCUUUGAGCCAAGUUGUGCUGCUGAGCAAGGCUGGUGUCACAGUUCUUGUCCCAAUGUCAGCUGGGUUGAGGUGCAUUGGAACGUACUUCCACUGGCCGGAACAAGGCGAUUGAUGGAUUUGUUGGAUCCUGUUGUGUACGAAGACAUAAAAUCUCCUUGACUGGUUCUGGAUGUACCCUAACACCGCCUUGCUAUCUGUGUAAUAGGUGAUGUUGUCGAAUAUCGUGUCCAUCUCUGUGACUACUAUCUCGGCAAUCUCGAUGGCGAGUACAGCCGCACAGAGCUCAAGUCUUGGGAUAGUUAAGCCAGGCUGGGGGGCCAACUUUGCCUUCCCGAAGGCAGAGGCAACCUCAGUCUUUUCUAGGUGGUUUGUCAUCCUGAUGUAGGCAAGACACAGAGUUCUCUUCUUAGCGCACCUGCAGUGGAGAAGGACGUUUAAGGGUGUGGUAUCUGAAGCCCCACUAGGUCUUGGAGUGACUGUUUUCAUCUAGUCCACUCAAUCUCCAUGUCUUUGGGAAGAGGUGAGUCCCAGUCCUCUGGUUGUGUGGUGAGUUCCCUGAGUAUCUGUCUUCCAUGAACCGUGAUGGGUGCGAGGAACCCUAGAGGAUCGUAGAGGCUAUCCACGGUUGAGAGUACCCCUCUGCGAGUGAACGGCUUCUUGUCAUCUU
ensembl:lncRNA